AGAGUUUGAUCCUGGCUCAGGAUGAACGCUGGCGGCGUGCCUAACACAUGCAAGUCGAGGGGCAUCGGGGCGAGGAGCAAUCCUUGCCGCCGGCGACCGGCGCACGGGUGAGUAACGCGUAUGCGACCUGCCCGUUGCAGGGGGAUAAUCGGGAGAAAUCCCGUCUAAUACCGCGUAAUGCCGCGGGGCUGCAUGGCCCUGCGGCCAAAGGAAGCGAUUCCGGCAACGGAUGGGCAUGCGUGACAUUAGCUAGUUGGCGGGGCAACGGCCCACCAAGGCGACGAUGUCUAGGGGUUCUGAGAGGAAGGUCCCCCACACUGGUACUGAGACACGGACCAGACUCCUACGGGAGGCAGCAGUGAGGAAUAUUGGUCAAUGGAAGAGAUUCUGAACCAGCCAAGCCGCGUGAGGGAAGACGGCCCUACGGGUUGUAAACCUCUUUUGUCGGGGAACAAAGAGCGGGACGUGUCCCGCGUUGAGUGUACCCGAAGAAAAAGCAUCGGCUAACUCCGUGCCAGCAGCCGCGGUAAUACGGAGGAUGCGAGCGUUAUCCGGAUUUAUUGGGUUUAAAGGGUGCGCAGGCGGCGGAUCAAGUCAGCGGUCAAAUUGCGGGGCUCAACCCCGUACUGCCGUUGAAACUGGUCUGCUUGAGUUGGAGAGAAGUAGGCGGAAUGCGCGGUGUUGCGGUGAAAUGCAUAGAUAUCGCGCAGAACUCCGAUUGCGAAGGCAGCCUACCGGCUCCAUACUGACGCUGAGGCACGAAAGCGUGGGGAUCGAACAGGAUUAGAUACCCUGGUAGUCCACGCAGUAAACGAUGAAUGCUAUUUGCCCGGACCGAUUGAGGGCUGGGGCGGCGAAGCGAAAGCGAUAAGCGUUCCCCCCUGGGGAAUACCCCCGGCAACGGUGAAACUCAAAGGAAUUGACGGGGGCCCCGCACAAGGGGAGGAACAUGUGGUUUAAUUCGAUGAUACGGGAGGACCCUUACCCGGGCUCAAACGACACAGGAACGGUCCUGAAAGGGGUGGGUUCUACGGAGCCUGUGUCGAGGUGCUGCAUGGUUGUCGUCAGCUCGUGCCGUGAGGUGUCGGCUUAAGUGCCAUAACGAGCGCAACCCCCAUCGACAGUUGCUAACAGGUUAGGUGGAGGACUCUGUCGAGACUGCCGGCGCAAGCUGCGAGGAAGGCGGGGAUGACGUCAAAUCAGCACGGCCCUUACGUCCGGGGCGACACACGUGUUACAAUGGCAGGUACAGCGGGAAGCCACCUGGCGACAGGGAGCGGAACCCGAAAGCCUGUCUCAGUUCGGAUUGGAGUCUGCAACCCGACUCCAUGAAGCUGGAUUCGCUAGUAAUCGCGCAUCAGCCACGGCGCGGUGAAUACGUUCCCGGGCCUUGCACUCACCGCCCGUCA
rnacentral:rRNA from 1 species